rnacentral:rRNA from 1 species
GAUGGAGCAACGCCGCGUGAGUGAAGAAGGGUUUCGGCUCGUAAAGCUCUGUUGGUAGUGAAGAAAGAUAGAGGUAGUAACUGGCCUUUAUUUGACGGUAAUUACUUAGAAAGUCACGGCUAACUACGUGCCAGCAGCCGCGGUAAUACGUAGGUGGCAAGCGUUGUCCGGAUUUAUUGGGCGUAAAGCGAGUGCAGGCGGUUCAAUAAGUCUGAUGUGAAAGCCUUCGGCUCAACCGGAGAAUUGCAUCAGAAACUGUUGAACUUGAGUGCAGAAGAGGAGAGUGGAACUCCAUGUGUAGCGGUGGAAUGCGUAGAUAUAUGGAAGAACACCAGUGGCGAAGGCGGCUCUCUGGUCUGCAACUGACGCUGAGGCUCGAAAGCAUGGGUAGCGAACAGGAUUAGAUACCCUGGUAGUCCAUGCCGUAAACGAUGAGUGCUAAGUGUUGGGAGGUUUCCGCCUCUCAGUGCUGCAGCUAACGC